GGCAGAGGUGCCAAGCGUUAGGCGGAAUCACUGGGCGUAAAGGGUGCGUAGGCGGGUCUUUAAGUCAGGGGUGAAAUCCUGGAGCUCAACUCCAGAACUGCCUUUGAUACUGAGGAUCUUGAGUUCGGGAGAGGUGAGUGGAACUGCGAGUGUAGAGGUGAAAUUCGUAGAUAUUCGCAAGAACACCAGUGGCGAAGGCGGCUCACUGGCCCGAUACUGACGCUGAGGCACGAAAGCGUGGGGAGCAAACAGG
rnacentral:rRNA from 1 species